rnacentral:rRNA from 1 species
AGGACGAACGCUGGCGGCGCGCCUAACACAUGCAAGUCGAGCGAGAACCAGGGCUUGCCCUGGGGAAAGCGGCGAACGGGUGCGUAACACGUGAGCAACCUGCCCCAAAGACCGGGACAACCCGAGGAAACUCGGACUAAUACCGGAUGCCCUCACCGGGCCGCAUGGUCUGGUGAGGAAAUGGAUUCCGCUUUGGGAUGGGCUCGCGGUCUAUCAGCUUGUUGGUGGGGUAACGGCCUACCAAGGCGACGACGGAUAGCUGGUCUGAGAGGACGAUCAGCCACACUGGGACUGAGACACGGCCCAGACUCCUACGGGAGGCAGCAGUGAGGAAUUUUCCGCAAUGGGCGAAAGCCUGACGGAGCGACGCCGCGUGCACGGGGAAGGUCUUCGGAUCGUAAAGUGCUGUCGAGGGGGACGAUUAUGACGGUACCCCUGGAGGAAGCCCCGGCUAACUACGUGCCAGCAGCCGC